rnacentral:rRNA from 1 species
UACGUAGGGUGCAAGCGUUGUCCGGAAUUAUUGGGCGUAAAGGGCUCGUAGGCGGUCCGUCACGUCGGGAGUGAAAACUUGGGGCUUAACCCCAAGCCUGCUUCCGAUACGGGCGGACUAGAGGUAGGCAGGGGAGAACGGAAUUCCUGGUGUAGCGGUGAAAUGCGCAGAUAUCAGGAGGAACACCGGUGGCGAAGGCGGCUUGCUGGGCCUUACCUGACGCUGAGGAGCGAAAGCGUGGGGAGCGAACAGG